rnacentral:rRNA from 1 species
AGGGCACCACCAGGAGUGGAGCCUGCGGCUUAAUUUGACUCAACACGGGGAAACUCACCCGGCCCGGACACCGUAAGGAUUGACAGAUUGAUAGCUUUUUCAUGAUUCGGUGGAUGGUGGUGCAUGGCCGUUCUUAGUUCGUGGAGCGAUUUGUCUGGUUUAUUCCGAUAACGAGCGAGACUCUAGCCUACUAAAUAGUUGGCGCAUUGCUUCUGUGUGCACAACUUCUUAGAGGGAUUUUCGGUGUACAGCCGCACGAAAUUGAGCAAUAACAGGUCUGUGAUGCCCUUAGAUGUCCGGGGCUGCACGCGCGCUACACUGGCAUAAUCAGCGUGCUUGUCCUUCCCCGAAAGGGGUUGGUAAACCCUUGAAAAUGUGCCGUGAUUGGGAUCGGAAAUUGCAAUUAUUUCCCUUGAACGAGGAAUUCCAAGUAAGUGCGAGUCAUCAACUCGCGUUGAUUACGUCCCUGCCCUUUGUACACACCGCCCGUCGCUGCCCGGGACUGAGCCAUUUCGAGAA